GAUGAACGCUGGCGGCGUGCCUAAUACAUGCAAGUCGAGCGAAGCGGGGACGGGUGAGUAACACGUGGAUAACCUCAUAUAAGACUGGGAUAACUUCGGGAAACCGGAGCUAAACCGGAUACUAAUAGAUGGAUCUGCGCUGCCUUAGCUAGUGGGUAAGGUAACGGCUGACCAAGGCAACGAAGCAGAGCCGACCUGAGGGGGUGAUCAGGCACACGGGAACUGAGACACGGUCCAGACUCCUACGUGAGGCAGCAGUAGGGAAUCGUCCGCAAUGGGCGAAAGCCUGACGGAGCAACGCCGCGUGAGUGAUGAAGGUCUUCGGAUCGUAAAACUCUGUUAUUAGGGAAGCGGUACCUAAUCAGUAAGCCACGGCUAACUACGUGCCAGCAGCCGCGGUAAUAC
rnacentral:rRNA from 1 species